AUGAAGCUGGCAUAGACAGGAAAGUUAUGAGGUGUGGAGUUUCGCUCCCGUGUCCUGUGGUGACAUAAGCGUGGACCUCCGGGCUCUGGGCAAGAGUGUCUCCAAGUUUUGCUGGCCUCAUCAGCAGCAUGGGGAAGAGGAGAAAGUUCUAUGAGAUCUGCUCCUUGACUUUACCUUGGGUCCACAAAGACCCCGUAGGAUUUUCACAUUUGUCUUAGGAAAGUCUGAACACGCCUGCCAGAUGGUUGACAGUGAGCCCCCACAAGACACAGAAUGGAGGCUUGGUGUGGUCCCCGUCCCUGCACGGGGCACACAAAAGUUGCCAAGUGGGUAUUGCAAGUUUUGAGGGACUUAAAAUAUCUCAGAGAAAAGAUGUGUAACUACACAUAGUCACGAAGAUAAUGAGUUCAUGGCUUACUCACUUCUCUUCACCCGGAAAAAUAAUGUACGCUAAAUGCUGUGUUUUUAAUCUGGGCCAAAUACUUGGCUGAAAGCUCUCUGGGUCUUAUCCUACUUGAUUCUACACACAGUCCUAAUAUGUAGGCUGUUACUGGCACCCUUGUUUUAGAGAGAGGGAUGCUUUCCACAGAAAGGGGAAGCUGCUGACGUCACGGAUCUCACGACAAAGGGAGCAGGGAUUCAAACCCAGGGAGAUCGACUGAAUGCCGAUAUACUAACGACCAGACUAGACUUUGAGGGAUUUGCCCCCUUCCCCCCAGGGAGGGUGGUGUGGGUCUUGAGGACCUUUCAGGAUUGCACCCUACUCAUCCAGGAUUCUCCUCAAACAAUCCACAGGUUCCAGGCUCCCACUGGCAAAGCACCAGGAACGAGUUACAAAGUGUGCUGAACUACCUACCCAUGGAGGGACCACAUCUGAUCUUCAGAGCAAGCCUCUGCCCCUUCCUCCCACCGGGUUCCAAUAUCCAAGAGUCAGACCUUAUGUUUCCAGCCCCUGGUGCGUAGAGGUGCUUGAUUAAAUCUUUUGAUAAGAA